rnacentral:lncRNA from 1 species
UCACUAAUAAGACUCAUAGAAAGGGCAUGCCACAAAAAAACUCUACCAUGGGGCCAUGCCACAAAGAAAGUCUACCAAGGGGGAUGCCCAAUCCCAACAAACGUGGCUGUGAUAAGCAAACUACUGGAUGGAGAUGCCCUACUACACUAAGGAAGUGGGAGUCUUCUUAGUAAGCCCUUGGAAAGGGUAUCCCUAAAAGAAUUGA